UACCCCGUGGUGUAAUUGGCAGCACACUUGGUUUUGGUCCAAGCGGUUCAGGUUCAAGUCCUGGCGGGGUAACCA
rnacentral:tRNA from 1 species